GAUGAAGAACGCAGCGAAAUGUGAUAAGUAAUGUGAAUUGCAGAAUUCAGUGAAUCAUCGAAUCUUUGAACGCACAUUGCGCCCAUUAGUAUUCUAGUGGGCAUGCCUGUUCGAGCGUCAUUAAGUCCACUUAAGCCUAGCUUAGUGUUGGGAGACUGCUCCAGUGGUGCUACCCUGUAGCUACCCUGCAGCUCCUUAAAGACAGCGGCGGAGUCGUGUUAUCCUCUGAGCUUAGUAAAUCAUUCUAGCUUUCGAGAGUAUCACUUCACCUGCCGUUAAACCACCUAAUUUUUAUGGUUGACCUCGGAUCAGGUAGGAAUACCCGCUGAACUUAAGCAUAUCAAUAAGCGGAGGA
rnacentral:misc_RNA from 1 species